GUGGCAUGAUCUCUGCUCACUGCAACCUCUGUCUCCCAGGUGGCCUCCCAAAGUGCUGGGAUUCAGGCAUGAGCCACCGUGCCCAGCCUCGUUGUUUUCAAUUUCAUGUAUGAAAACAUACAGUAUUUCUCUUUUUGUGCCUCACUUAUUUCACUUAGCAUGAUGUAUUCCAAUUCCAUCCAUGUUGUUUCAAGUGACAAAAUUUUUAUCUUUUUAAAGG
rnacentral:lncRNA from 1 species